UACACUCCUACGGGAGGCAGCAGUGGGGAAUAUUGCACAAUGGGCGCAAGCCUGAUGCAGCCAUGCCGCGUGUAUGAAGAAGGCCUUCGGGUUGUAAAGUACUUUCAGCGGGGAGGAAGGCAAUACGGUUAAUAACCGUGUUGAUUGACGUUACCCGCAGAAGAAGCACCGGCUAACUCCGUGCCAGCAGCCGCGGUAAUACGGAGGGUGCAAGCGUUAAUCGGAAUUACUGGGCGUAAAGCGCACGCAGGCGGUCUGUCAAGUCGGAUGUGAAAUCCCCGGGCUCAACCUGGGAACUGCAUUCGAAACUGGCAGGCUUGAGUCUUGUAGAGGGGGGUAGAAUUCCAGGUGUAGCGGUGAAAUGCGUAGAGAUCUGGAGGAAUACCGGUGGCGAAGGCGGCCCCCUGGACAAAGACUGACGCUCAGGUGCGAAAGCGUGGGGAGCAAACAGGAUUAGAAACCCCGGUAGUCCC
rnacentral:rRNA from 1 species